CGCUCGCAGCCGCUGCCGUGAGGGGAGAGGCGCACCCGGCUGAGGCAGGUAAAGUGCUUGGGGCUCUUAGCUCUCCUCCUCUCCUCCUGCCCGCUCUCCCUUUCCACCCCGCACCUCCUGAGGGUUCCCCUACUGCAUGUGGUGCUUUUUCUCAAAACUCUGGUGCGGGGAGGAAGGUGGGCACCGGCAGUGCGAGGGCUUAUCAGCAAGGCUUGUCAUUAUGAGUAUCUUUUUAUUCUAAAAAACACCAGAAGAAAUGUCCAGGCUUUUGAAGAUGUGUUUCUUGUUGAUAUCAAUGAAUCAUGCUGAGCUUGCUCACAGUCAGAACUCUGAAGAUUUGCCUCCGUUGUUACACAAAGCUGUGGAGGAAGUAAUAGCUGGGAAAUAUCUGAAUGGUAAUGUACACAGUUGUUCCCACUUAUGCUUCUAAAAUGAAUUAAAACUCAGUAUCUCACCAUAACUUUUUAUGUUCCAUUUUUCAUGUGCAGCCCUCCUAGAUAUACUUUAUUUUCAAAGGUAAUGUAUUGCUCUCC
rnacentral:lncRNA from 12 species